rnacentral:tRNA from 1 species
CCAAGUAGCUCAGUUGGUUAGAGCGCCGGCCUGUCACGCCGGAGGUCGAGGGUUCGAGCCCCUUCUUG